ensembl:lncRNA
CCCGCCCCUCCGCGUGGCCGCCUGCUCGGGCUGCUGGGCGGGUCGUCUUCGCUGAGAGCGUGCGCGGAGAGGCCUGCCGAGUCCUCCCGAGAUCCUGGUGGGGUAGACCCGGGUUCGCGCCGGCUCAGCUGGUGCCUGGCUACGUGUACGACUCGGGCCUCAGCACGGCUGCUCUACGUCUUUCUGUAUGUCGAUCAGCGUGGUACCAGGAUCGAACUCAGGACCUUGUGUUUGCGAGGCAGAUGUGGUUCCAUUGAGCUAGAUCAUCUGGAUGUUUGAGCAACCAUCUUUGGAUGCUUUAUUCAGGCGGCCAGAGGCAUGAAAACAUUUCAUUUACAUGAACAGCCAAGGAAUCAUAUUAGAACUGUCAAUUAUGAUGAAUUACCUGAAUUUUAGUUAAUGCUUAUUUUUUUACGUGUGAAUUUGAGUCAACUUAAAAAAAAAAAGAUGAAUUGAUAUAUACAUUACUUCACUGUUACGCUUUCUUUCUUUUACAUUUCAAUCAUAUAAUUUAUUUUUCCAUUGGAGAUAGAGAAGGGCAUAUCUUCUUGGAUACAUUACUGUUUUGGUAUUUCAAAUGAAUGGAAUAUAUAAAUCCCAAUGAAUAGUGUAGUGUCAUGCCAUAUCUUAUAUACAACAGGUUAAAUGCAGACUUUAUAUUGUAAUUCUGUGUUCAUGUAUUUACCAUAAUUUUUGUAAUAGAAAUGCAACUUUGUUACUUGGCCCAAGUUAGCUCUUGAUACUUUUCAUUGAUAAUCUACAAGUUUGGAGAGCAUGAAGCCUUCUGAAUUGAAAAAAAGUAAGUAUUCGCACUGAAUUAUUGAAAAUUGAAACUUUUAUGUUGACUCUUGAUGACUAUGAAACCAGUGUUAAGCAUUAAUAUCAUCCAAUGUAAAAUACUACACUGAAGAGCCUGUAUAUGCUGACUGGGAAUAGCGGUGGCCUUUUACAGUAUCAAAAAGUCUAAACAUCUGAUGGUCGGAAGAAACUGCUGGUGAUGAAGACAUCCCAUCUCUCUGGAGCAACCAUUACAGUGAAAAUCUUUACAGCACGUUCUUAUUAUCAGCUAGGGAAUGUUAUAUUGGUAUUAUAGCAGCAAAACAAGGAGAAGAAAGAGAAGAGAGGAAGAAGUGUGUAUUUGAAAAGUGUGAAAAGGUAAUAAAAAGAUACGGAAAUGUGCCUUGCUACAGACAGACAAGUGAGAGCCAGCUGGGUGUUUUAAGUCAAUGUAAGGAAACAAGCACUGAUAAUGCCCAUCAUACUUUAUACUUAAAUUACACAAGUAGAAAAGUGAUGCUUAUUAAUAGUUUAAUGUAUGAAGGAAACAUCCAGAUUUCUGAAUAUGAAGGUACAUAUCUCACAUUAAUUUAAGUCUACAUAAAGUAGAGCCUCUAUACUGACAUAUUGAAAUUUACGUUCUGCUUAGCCUUUUGUUAUGUAAACAAUUGUACAUUUAUUUGCCAUUCUAAAACCUCAGGAUCAAGUUUACAUAAUUUUGCUAAAUUUCUGUGUUUGCUCAGAAGCAGUUUACAGUACUAAAACCAACCAGCCAAAGAACAGCUUCAACAGAAAGUUAGGUCCGAAGGGGAAGAGGGAAAGAAAAAAAGAAAAAUGAUAAGAAAAAUGCUAACUAAGGUAAAACGACUGAUGAGGGGAGUGGGCAGUCACAAAUGUUCACAGAAAAUAGGUCAGUUAGUAAGUUCUUCUGCAAAAGCCUACACACUUCAGUCAAGCACAUCAGUAGAAUGAUUUGGGAGCAUAAUUUUUUUUUCCGGCCACUUGUGAUUUCCUCUGAAUGAAAAGGAAUCUGCAGGCUAAUAAGGCUCAUUCUCAUCAGCCCAGCUGGUUCAUAUGCACACUGUUCAUGUGAGGUGCCCAGGGUCCAGUCCACACCUAUGAAUAUACAGAACAUCUAUUAAAUAUACACUUGAUUAAAACUCCCCAAAAACUAAUGAAGUGCUCUUAGUAUCUAGACUAAACAUAAAACAGCUCAGUAUUAUCCAAUUUGUAAUGUACUUACAAGUAAAAUGUUAAACUGCCUUAUUUUUAUUUUUUUCUCUUUGCAGUGCUGGGAAUCAAACCCAGGUCCUUGUGCACGGUAGGCAAGCGCUCUCCACUAGGUGGUAUACACCCUCACAUGUUUACCUGCUGUUUUCAUAAGGCUCUUUUUAUUUCUUGCACGGGAUUUUAUCACCAUCUUUUUCAAAUCAUUACCUAUCCACAUACAGAUUUAUGGUUGUGGAAAGACAAUGACUCAGAUAUUAAACAUGCAUCAAUAAGCUAAAAUAUACAAAUAUAAAACUAUUUCUAUAAAUUUUCAGUUAAUUACAUAUAUUUUGACAUUUACAGUUCUAUCAACAAUUAAUCUUUAGAUGGCCUGUCUCCUAGCACUACUAAAUUUUGAUGUCAGUAUAGCUGGGCGUGAUGGCACAUGCCUGUAAACCCAGCACUCAGGAGGCUGAGGCAGGGGGAUCGCUGUGAGUUCAAGGCUAGCCUGAACUACAUAGCAAGACCCUGUCCCAAAACAGCAAAACAAAACAAAAACCUAUUACACUUUUUUUUUU